rnacentral:misc_RNA from 1 species
AAAGUCGUAACAAGGUAUCCGUAGGUGAACCUGCGGAUGGAUCAUUAGAAAGUGUUAGACGCGCAAGCGUCGACCACCUACUCUGUGCAUCGUAACGUACCCUGGCGGGAGCCUGCGCAAGCGGCGCCCGUCGAAGGGCAGAUGCCCCUCGGGGCGUCUGUUCCCAACAAACACAUCAACCAAAGUCUGAAGCUAAAGAAACAAUGUUAAACAACUUUUGACAACGGAUCUCUUGGCUCUC